rnacentral:rRNA from 1 species
GACGAACGCUGGCGGCGUGCUUAACACAUGCAAGUCGAACGGAAAGGCCCUGCUUUUGUGGGGUACUCGAGUGGCGAACGGGUGAGUAACACGUGAGUAACCUGCCCUUGACUUUGGGAUAACUUCAGGAAACUGGGGCUAAUACCGGAUAGGAGCUCCUGCUGCAUGGUGGGGGUUGGAAAGUUUCGGCGGUUGGGGAUGGACUCGCGGCUUAUCAGCUUGUUGGUGGGGUAGUGGCUUACCAAGGCUUUGACGGGUAGCCGGCCUGAGAGGGUGACCGGCCACAUUGGGACUGAGAUACGGCCCAGACUCCUACGGGAGGCAGCAGUGGGGAAUAUUGCACAAUGGGCGGAAGCCUGAUGCAGCAACGCCGCGUGCGGGAUGACGGCCUUCGGGCUGUAAACCGCUUUCGCCUGUGACGAAGCGUGAGUGACGGUAAUGGGUAAAGAAGCACCGGCUAACUACGUG